GAAGUCAAGUAAGUGGGUGGUGGA
rnacentral:siRNA from 1 species